rfam:Rhizobium sp. Leaf453 contig_2, whole genome shotgun sequence.
AAUACCAAAUCUGGCGCGAUGAUACGCGCCGGUGAAAUGCGCUUCCGCGGUUGACCACGGAUGUACUGGCAGGUGUGUUGAAACGCAUUGUGAAAGGUCGGGAUUUCCCGGCCUUUUUGUUU